UCACUUAACUCCGGUUGAUCCUGCCGGAGGCCACCGCUAUCGGGGUCCGACUAAGCCAUGCAAGUCGAGGGCCGCCCGGCAAUGGGGGCGGCCCGGCGGACGGCUCAGUAACACGUGGGUAACCUACCCUCGGGACGGGGAUAACCCCGGCGAAAGUGGGGCUAAUCCCCGAUAGGCGGGGCGGCCUGGAACGGUCCUCCGCCGAAAGGGCCCGGGCCCAUGCCGCCCGGGUCCGCCCGAGGAUGGGCCUGCGGCCGAUUAGGUAGUUGGCGGGGUAACGGCCCGCCA
rnacentral:rRNA from 1 species